UCAUCUGAACACUGAUACAUGAGGAUGUGAGGCAAGUGCAACAAGGAAAAGUGAGGAAAGAAAUUACAUCUGUAACAAAAAUGAGAAAAUAAGGAAUGCAUC